AGUGAACGCUGGCGGUAGGCCUAACACAUGCAAGUCGAACGGCAGCACAGCAAGAGCUUGCUCUUACGGGUGGCGAGUGGCGGACGGGUGAGGAAUACAUCGGAAUCUACUUUUUCGUGGGGGAUAACGUAGGGAAACUUACGCUAAUACCGCAUACGACCUACGGGUGAAAGCAGGGGAUCUUCGGACCUUGCGCGAUUGAAUGAGCCGAUGUCGGAUUAGCUAGUUGGCGGGGUAAAGGCCCACCAAGGCGACGAUCCGUAGCUGGUCUGAGAGGAUGAUCAGCCAGACUGGAACUGAGACACGGUCCAGACUCCUACGGGAGGCAGCAGUGGGGAAUAUUGGACAAUGGGCGCAAGCCUGAUCCAGCCAUACCGCGUGGGUGAAGAAGGCCUUCGGGUUGUAAAGCCCUUUUGUUGGGAAAGAAAAGCAGCAGGUUAAUACCCCGCUGUUCUGACGGUACCCAAAGAAUAAGCACCGGCUAACUUCGUG
rnacentral:rRNA from 1 species